UCUCUGGAAUCUGACUUGUGCACAGUAGA
rnacentral:piRNA from 1 species